rnacentral:lncRNA from 10 species
UUUUUGCUCAUUUUAAUGACUUCCUAUUUACUUCUGCAUCUUAUGCAGAGUAUGAAGCCCUGAGGGCUGAGACCACAUCUGCCUGGUUUUCUGUGGCAGCUGCAGCAUCAACACUGGCUCUUCGAAGAGUAGCAGCUGAUGAACAUUACUCCGGCAAACAAUUUUCUCUGCUAGAUACUGUGUUUUUUACUCGAAGAACUGGCAGCCCUGCAUCAAGCAAUGGAUUCCAUUUUUCCAACAGCAUGUUCUCAAUUCAUUAGCAGUUUUUGGCAAUAAAAUAUUUUUACUCAAGAAAAUGCAAGAGUGAAAAAUAAGCUUUCAGCUCUGGGAUGAUAGAAAUCCUCAGAUUGGACGGCAUGAAGUGGUCAGAAAAUGACAUCAGCCCAACCUCACGAGGCCCAAUCAAUAGACUCAACAUGAUGGCGUUUCUGAGAGCAGUGGCUUCUAAGGCAUGGCAUAACUAAGAAACUAUCAACUAAUCCAACACCAAGAAG